rnacentral:lncRNA from 1 species
CAUCGACCGGUAAAUUAAUGUGUUCUGCAAGCUCCAUCUCUGUAUAGCGAACCGAGAAAUACUGCAGGUUGGGAAGACAUAAUGGUCAGCAGAUGAGCAGAAUGUACAUCCAUCAAAGAAAAGAACAAAAUCCUCCUCUGCAAAGAGCACGGACAGGGGUUGAUGCCAAAUUUGUCUUCUGAUCGACAGUGGAAAAGAGCAAGGUACCAAAUAAAGCAAUGAAGGCAGCAAAAAAUAACUCUUUUGCAAGGACCAAGGACAUGACUAGAAUCUAUAUCUAUCCAUCUCCUCAGCGGUAAGAAAGCAAGAGCAAGAUACACUAUCAACCAAGACAGGGCACAUGAAAUAUAUUCUCUAGUAACCACCGAGUAAAUAGACGAACAUAACAGAGCUCACCCUGUACAAACGCGAAUGGCACAGUCAUGGGAAUGACAACCGCAAGGACCUGUAAAUCAAUAGAAGAAAACAUCACAAGGAUUAUGGACCUUGAAAGCAUAACACCUAUUAGAAAAGCAAUAAAUUCCAAAAAAUGGAAACAAGGGAAUUAAUACAAAUAAAUUUUCAGUUUUCUAUUUUUCUGGUCUCAACACCUGAAGGCCCAUCCUAAAUAUAUCAUUAUAUAACCACAUAAGUAAUUACUAGGAUGUUUCACACAAAACUUGAAAUAAAAUCAUACCUACCCUACCAUUACUACAUGCUCUCACUUCACUGAUUCAUCUACGGGACAGUGAUCUAUUCAAACAUAUGCAUAAACAUUGGCCUUCAUUGUUGCGCAGACCAGGUUUAAAAUUUAAACCCUUAAACCUAUCCAACCUCUCGGAAAGGCCUCAACGGAAUACUAUAAGGAGAGUUUCAUAUGACUAAUGCAGAACACUAAACAUCAGAGUUGAUCAAAGAAUCAAGUAACAAGAAGGGAUGUUAAAGCACAUAUAACUCACCAUGAUAACUCCCUGGCUGUCCCAUUCAUUCCAUGCUCUGUUCUGGUGCAUACGUACACAGCUGGGCAGCCAUUCAACUCAAAAACAAAUGUGUGACCUUCCGAUUCCACACCAGGGGCUAAUCAAAUGACAGUAUAAAUCUCCUACAGUAGAGGAAUAAAUACAAGUUUAGAAUUGGCAAUUUCACAGUGACGGUACCCAAACCAAACAAUAUUACAUGAAACUGAAAUAAGAACACAAUUAUAUGCAGUAGCGCAACACUCACUUGUUAUAUAUUUAUUUUUUGCGGGAGAGUACCAAGCACUCAGUUGACAUCAAGGAGCAUGCAUCU